rnacentral:misc_RNA from 1 species
UUAACUAUUAUAUAGUACUCAGACGACAUUAACAUAAGAGUUUGGGUCCUCUGGCAGGCGCGGGCCGGCCGGGGCCGGCGGUCCGAGGACGGGCCUGCCAAAGCAACAAAGGUAUGGUAGACAAAGGGUGGGAUGUAUACCCCGGGGGGCAACGUCUCUUUAAUGAUCCUUCCGCAGGUUCACCUACGGAAA